rnacentral:lncRNA from 1 species
UGAACUCAUAGGAUAGUUAUAGUGGUAAAGUACUAAAUUACCAUCAUUUUCCCACAAGUUAAAAAAAAAAAAAAAAAUUCUAUUGCAGUGUACAGUACUAACCUAUAGGAUGUAGUCUUCCUAUUGCUAUACAAAAAUGCUUUUCAGUGUGAGUAUAAAGUGAAGUUUUCACAUGUUCCAGUUGGCCUAAAUAACAGUCUUUGAAUAUUUAACACACUUUUUUUUUAACAAAUAAUUUUCUCGGAAUUUGACUAAUUCGGAAUCGUUUAUUUUUUGCUAUUCAGAAAAUGUUUAUCGAUUUUAACUGAAAGAAUAAUCCGAGUGUACGAUAUUCGUGAUAAAAAAAAAGAAGGAAAAAAAAGAUUUCGAGGCGUGGUUGCAUAGGUUAUUGAACUUUUAAACUAUAUAGCUAUAUAGUAUAUUAAGGUAUAAUGUUAAUAUAUAUGAUUUUUCAUAUUCUGACAGCGAUCCAUUUUUAUCGGAAGUUAGUUGAAUUAGUUCGCCUUUAAUGAUAAAACCAGAUGCGAACGAGCGAGUUAAAUAUAGAAUACUGUAUAUUAAAAAACAUUAAAGUUAAUAAUAACUUCCUUAUUUAAACAGAAUUCCUUGCAUUUUUAUCGAUUUAAACGAUAUUAAAUUAUUUAACUACAGUAUAUGCUUAUACUCGUCUAACUAUAUAUAUAAAAAUUUAGCGUAAGUUGCAAAAAAUUUUUGUACUUGAACCUAAAAUGGGUAACGAUCGAAUUGGCUUGCCCGCGGAGAACGCAUUGCGUCGCGAACUACGUUUAUAUGCAACGCGACGCGCCCAACUCCGAUAGCUAUGUAUGUAGUUUGCGACGCAACGCGUUCUCCGCGAGCAGGUCAAUUCGAUUGCUGCCCUUAAAUGUUUUUCACACGGUCGGAAUAGAUUCGUGUAUUUCGAAUGAUUAUAAAUAUUAUGUAUUUGCGUUUUAUCUUAGAUGCAUAAUUUCAGAACCUGUAGCUGGAAACAUUCCAGAAAUUUGAAUUGCAAUAAAGUCAUUUGAUCGUGUUUUAGUAUGCAAAUAAAAUUCAUCGGCCCUCGCAUACGAGGUAACGUGAGCGGGUCAGCGUCAAUUGAAACGUCGACUGUUGCGUAAUUGCCGCAAUGAUACCAUAGUCUUAUUUAUUCACUGACGUCACUUUCUCUUCCUGUUUUUUUAGCAGUGACGUCAUUCACCUUCAAGAUGGUUUCUUAACUUGAAUUUAGUAUUGUGCAAUCUUCUUUGAUUUCUAUUGUGAUAAAAAUCGGUUGAUUAAGUCAUCAGCUUACAUAAACAAAAGUUUUGUUAAUAUAACCUAUUACAAAUUAAUUAUGUAAUAUUGGAGACUGUCAACAAUAGUUCGACAAUGUCUUAACCCAUUAACAUCACGGUUUGGUUAAGUAACUGGGCUAAAUAAUAUCUUUCAUAAUGGCAUCCGUUAAGUCAUUUUGCGAAUUAAAUAACCUUCCCACACAGUCAAAAUUUGUCAAGUGCGGUAUUUUGUAUACGGUAUAUAUUUCGUUACGCUCACCCCUUAUGGAGCAAAAUUUCGAAAUUCUAAAAAUCCUGACAACGCCUUUAGUGUCCGGAUGAACAUUGGGCUACGUAACAUAUAUAUUUUUUUUCUAUUUUAGGAAAUGUUUUAUCUUUACGUCAUAGCGUGGGCCUUAAUGGGGCGAUUGCUAUCUGUUACGAAUAAAUUAAGAAAUAUCCGAAUGCAUAUAUUGGCCAAUCGACCGGCAAAGAUUAACUAGAUAUAUUAUCCUAAUUCCUAAAUAGGUUUAUAAUUUAAUUAUAAUUAAUUUCGACAGACCUCGAUGAAAAAGCUCUUUGUUUUUAUUCCAUGUUUUAGAUUGUUUAAUAAUUAAAAAAAAUUUACGUAACUUAUUCUAGUUAUCAAACAAAAAUAUUUAUUAGAAUGACAUCAAUCUAUAUAUAUAUAUAUAUAUAGAACACAGUAUAUUGAAAUUCCUAUAUUUAGAUUUAUAUAUGGACUCUAAGUGAAACAAGAAUGUUCGCAUUUUAAUUUAUUCCUUCGUUAUUACUCAGUAAUUAAC